UACAGAGGGUGCGAGCGUUAAUCGGAAUUACUGGGCGUAAAGGGCGUGUAGGUGGUUGUGUAAGUUGGUUGUGAAAUCCCUGGGCUUAACCUAGGAAUGGCAAUCAAGACUGCAUAACUAGAGUACGGUAGAGGGUAGUGGAAUUUCCGGUGUAGCGGUGAAAUGCGUAGAGAUCGGAAGGAACACCAGUGGCGAAGGCGGCUACCUGGACUGAUACUGACACUGAGGCGCGAGAGCGUGGGGAGCAAACAGG
rnacentral:rRNA from 1 species